rnacentral:rRNA from 1 species
AACGAUGAUCCCAGCUUGCUGGGGGAUUAGUGGCGAACGGGUGAGUAACACGUGAGUAACCUGCCCUUGACUCUGGGAUAAGCCUGGGAAACUGGGUCUAAUACCGGAUAUGACCAUCUGACGCAUGUCAUGGUGGUGGAAAGCUUUUGUGGUUUUGGAUGGACUCGCGGCCUAUCAGCUUGUUGGUGGGGUAAUGGCCUACCAAGGCGACGACGGGUAGCCGGCCUGAGAGGGUGACCGGCCACACUGGGACUGAGACACGGCCCAGACUCCUACGGGAGGCAGCAGUGGGGAAUAUUGCACAAUGGGCGGAAGCCUGAUGCAGCGACGCCGCGUGAGGGAUGACGGCCUUCGGGUUGUAAACCUCUUUCAGUAGGGAAGAAGCGAAAGUGACGGUACCUGCAGAAGAAGCGCCGCUAACUACGUGCCAGCCGCCGCG